rnacentral:rRNA from 1 species
GAUGAACGCUGGCGGCGUGCCUAAUACAUGCAAGUCGAGCGAACAGAUGAGGAGCUUGCUCCUCUGACGUUAGCGGCGGACGGGUGAGUAACACGUGGAUAACCUACCUAUAAGACUGGGAUAACUUCGGGAAACCGGAGCUAAUACCGGAUAAUAUAUUGAACCGCAUGGUUCAAUAGUGAAAGACGGUUUUGCUGUCACUUAUAGAUGGAUCCGCGCCGCAUUAGCUAGUUGGGAAGGUAACGGCUUACCAAGGCAACGAUGCGUAGCCGACCGGAGAGGGGGAUCGGCCACCCGAGAACUGGACCACGGUCCAGACUCCUACGGGAGGCAGCAGUAGGGAAUCUUCCGCAAUGGGCGGAAGCCUGACGGAGCAACGCCGCGUGAGUUAUGAAGGUCUUCGGAUCGUAAAACUCUGUUAUUAGUGAAGAACAAAUGUGUAAGUAACUAUGCACGUCUUGACGGUACCUAAUCAGAAAGCCACGGCUAACUACGUG